rnacentral:rRNA from 1 species
AUGGACGAGCCUAUCACGGAGGAAGAGAUCCUUGCCAACAUCAAGGAGCUCGAUGGAAGCAGCACCCCUGGGCCCGACGGCUUUACGGGACUGUUUUAUAAGCGAUGUUGGCCCAUAAUCAAGACUGAUCUGACGAAGGCUGUCGGGGCCGUGUAG